CCUGAAAGAUUAUAGGAGGUCCAGCCUGCCCAGUGAUAAAAUUAAACGGCCGCGGUACCCUAACCGUGCGAAGGUAGCGCAAUCACUUGUUCUUUAAAUGAGGACUAGUAUGAACGGCAUCACGAGGAUUAUACUGUCUCCCUUCUUUAAUCAGUGAAACUGAUCCCCCCGUGAAGAAGCGGGAAUAAACAUAUAAGACGAGAAGACCCUAUGGAGCUUUAAACUUAACACCACUUAUCUAAAACACUUCAUAAUAAACAGAUAAGCUUGUGCGCAUUUUAGGUUGGGGUGACCGCGGAGUAAAAUUUAACCUCCACGUUGAAAGGCCUUUAUCCUUAUCCAAGAGCCACAUCUCCAAGAAUCAACAAAUUGACAUUUAUUGACCCAAAUUUUUUUUGAUCAACGAAC
rnacentral:rRNA from 1 species